rnacentral:rRNA from 1 species
UACGUAGGGUGCUAGCGUUGUUCGGAAUCAUUGGGCGUAAAGCGCGUGUAGGCGGUUAGUUAAGUCAGAUGUGAAAUCCCUGGGCUCAACCGAGGAAGUGCAUUUGAAACUAAUUAGCUAGAGAGUGGUAGAGGAAGGUGGAAUUCCGUGUGUAGAGGUGAAAUUCGUAGAUAUACGGAGGAAUACCGGUGGCGAAGGCGGCCUUCUGGACCAUUUCUGACGCUGAGACGCGAAAGCGUGGGGAGCAAACAGG